UUAAAUCCUCAAUCAAACACCACCUCCGAUUCGCCUCUCCUCACUCAUCUCUAAUCUCAAAUUCAUUUUCAGAAACCCCACACCGAUCGCUCUACAUCUAAGCAAAUAUCUAAGCCCUAAAUUGACAAAGUCGAAUCGAAUGGUGAACGUGGACGCUCUUAACACAAGAACCGAGGGUUAUCGCUCGUGAAGCUCCAAUUUAUACAAUGAUAACAAGAAUUAAACGAAACGAUGCAAAAUCCAACAAAUACGAGUUCACUAACCUACGGAGUGGAGGCGUACUCCGGUAUCUGUUGCUAUGGCUUGAAGACGAUAAUACAGAAGGCCAGAGGGGAGACGAUAUUCUUCCGAUUGAAUGCGAAAUAAACGCGAAGACAACGAAGUAAUCUUUCCGGCAGCAGGUCGGUUCAAGGAUCAUGGGGAGAAAGGAGGUUUGGACAUCGGUGAUGCUCAUGGGAUACCAGUGAAUUGUUAGUGACGAAGAUGGGAGCAGGGGUAUGGCUUGAAGAUAACAUGAAGGAAGCCAACGUUUUAGAACUUUAGGAUGAGGAUUAGAUUCUAGUUGUGUAAAUUUCCUUUUAUAAUGUACUUGGUCCUUGGAUAUGAACUGAAUUCAUUUUGUAAAUGUGUGGACUUGGAAUGUUGUAAUGGAGAUCUUUUUCUUCCAAAUGAAUGCAACUAUUAUUCUCUUC